AUUCUGACACUGGCAGAUCAAUGCACAGUCCUUCCCGAAAAACCCCAAGGGACAUCCUGCAGCACAAGGAGAGGGACGAUAAAAAGAGACAUGUUCGAAGAGACCUGUAUAAUCUCCUAGUCCAACAUCCUAUUCAAAGGUUCUUCAAUUAUGAUAAUUCCACAGCCUCUUCCAGGCCGGAGACUUCAGAGCGUCUCUGGACAGUUGCUGUGUCUGACAACUCUCACGCCUCUUUUGGAAGACCCAGGAGCAUCUCUGCUUGGCCUCACUCCACCUACUUCUUGACUCUAUUUCUGGGAGACCUACUCUGAAAAUGAGGCUACCCCCAAUUCCAGGAGACACACAUUUCUCUUCCCUGAACACCCUUCCCUCACAACUUUGAUGAUUCAAACUACAGGCAGCUGGACUGCUGGAAAACUGUGACAAAUCUUGUGGGGAGGGUAGGCUUAUUAUUUACCUCCUUGAUUCUAGCACGAUUUUCCUUAGUUUAUCUGUAUCUCUAUUCUUGUAAUUUUAAUUUUAAUUUUUUCAAAAGGAACCAUGGGUACAUUUGAUAUCCUGUUCUCACUCUGAGGCCUGUUGCCACUGCUGAUUCUUACAAAGUGUAUAAAAAAAAAGCAAUAACUAACCCAAUAAUUCCUACCAAACUCAAUGGGGAGGUUUUUAAGUUUCUGAAACUCAUGUAUGUUUUAUUUACCUAACAAAAUACACAUUACAGUACAUAAGUUUACCCUUAGAAUGGAGUCCCCUACUAAAUUUCUUAGAAAAUCAUAUUCAUAACAAUGCCACAGCACAGAUAGUGAAUAAAAGUAAAGUUGUACCAUAACAAGAAGAGCACUACUGCUUUGUUCAUUUAAGAUAACACUUUUUUUCUGCAUAUUCAUAUAUUUUGAGAAAAUGCCCCAUCAGGGAGCAUUUCAUAGUACUUCAUAUUAAAAUUACAAAGCAUUGUUGUGUUAUAUGAUAUGUAUUCCAAGUAAGAGAAGGAGAAACAGAGAUUUUAAAACAUUAAUUUUGUUCUUACUUCUCUGACAAGUGGUGCCUCUGUAUCCUGGUGCACACUCACAGAUUCCAUCAUCUGGAGAGCAAGAUGCUCCAUUUUUGCAGUAACAAGGCAGGGAGCAAUUUGGACCCCACUGUCCCUCAGCACACACACUGUCACAGUGAAUGCCUGAAAACAUAAAUAAAACAUUUGUGAAGAACUCUCAUGCAUAAUAAGGUUAAACCUGUGGUCCUCAGUGGACUGAUUUUCAAAACACAGCUCACAUAACCUGUUUUUGAAAAUACCACUAACAUCAGGAAAAUAGAACACAGUAAAUGUGCAUCCCUGUUCCUGUCUUCCCCCAGAACAGUGAAUUUCAUAUUCUAGUUUUUAUGAGAUGUACAUAAUGGCUUUUGCUUCUUCCAUAGUGGCCGUUUCAAAACAGCAAAACCUUAUUUUCAAAUUUUAUGUUUGGGAAACGCAUGACAAAAGGUAUAUAGAAACUCUUCCUUCUGAGCAUAAGAAUUCUUUGGGUCUGACAUAACUUUGUAUAAUAAUGGUGUACAGGACACUGAAUGAUUUCUAAUUAGUGGUGAGCUGAUUACUGCUCAGCUUCAUACCGCAUGGAAAAAUGUAGCGCACACAAAGGGUUUCCAAACACACCACAUGAGCAUUCCAAAAUGCUUAGCUGCAACAGUGUUACAGAUGCUAGUCAGUCAGUGCUUUGUUUAGCUGCUUUUGAUAUAAAAUUGAUUGUAAAAUGGCCGCAACCUGAAUCCCUACAUUUAAAUCAUAAUACAAACCACUCAUUAUAAUCAACCAA